UUACCUUAACUAGUGCAUAAAUGGAGCGAAGGCUUAGAGAUGGUGUCAAGCCCGUCAUCGCUCAUCUCAUCCCGCCGAUAGUUUUGUCUACUAGUUUCGGUACUGAAUUUUGUAUGUUUAUUGAUGUGGUUUUUUAAUUUUCGAUUUAGAUUUCGUAGUUCGUUUCCUAAGUUUGAAGUUUUGAUGGUUUUUGUUUCAAAGGAUUAUUGGAGAUUGCAGUGAUAGGGAAGAGGAAACAUCUAUAUGUUCCAAAAAUUGACACUAAAUAACAAUACUUGCGGGUUUAGAUCUCCUGCCCACAAAUGAAUACUUUGAGGUUUUAGGAAAAAUUGAUAUUUAGGAUUUCCCCUUAGUCUUAUGGGUAAAUCGAAUUGGGUUUCUGCGGACUGGAGCAGAUGCUUGAAGAAACUGGGCAAUUUUGUAGGCAAUUGUAUUUGUAGCUCAAAUUGAAGGCCACCCAGUUGGCUUAUUUUUUUUAAUGAUACAUGUAUUUUGUCUUCGAUAAUUGGCAAUUGAAGGGACUCUGAAUAAACAACGAGUAUUUGAACAAUUAGGUUGUGCUAAGGAUCCCUUGAUUUUUUGGUUCUUUAUAAUAAUUAGAGUAACUGAUGUGUGAAGAGGUUGCUUUGAUAAGCUCUAUCUUGUUGAAGUUGUGAAGUUUUUAGCAAUAUGUUGCUCGUGCUUGUAUGUCUUCUGGGUAUAUAGUUAGUGACAAAUUUAGAGACGUGAAGACGCUGCUUUGGAAGUAGACAGCCCAUGCCCAUGCCCAUGCCCAUGCUACCAACAUGGGAGAAAAACAUUUGCAAAGUAGGAGGAUCGUUUGACUGGGGCAAAGCAAUUAUUAAAGAGCUACAUCAUGCAGCAUGGAUGACGAAGAAUGUAAUAGCUGCCGUGCCUUGUUGGCCAUUAAUUCAGAGUAACAGGCUGACAAGGUCGAUAGCAGCUGCACUUUUAACUGUGAUGUUAAAAUUCAUGUUAAGCUAAAAUUCAUAUGGUUUUGGCUUGAGGUUUAAGUAGCCUAAUUAUAAUAUAAUAAUUAUUACAUCGUUUCAAA